AUUAUUCUAUCCCAUCCCUCUGGUUCAUCUGCCUCCUUUGCACAUUCCCAGAUGAAGCUCUCAACCUAACAGGUUUGUCUGGGAGUGGACGAGUGGCUGGGACCAUCAGACAUUACUUUGCCAUGAAGAUGGAAGAAGAAUCAUAACAGAGGAGAUUCCUACUGUAUCAAGUAAGGAAGACUGAAAAGGCUCGAGGGCAGAUGUCUGAUAACAGCCCUCAUAAAAGAAGUAGAAGACUAACUAGUGUCAGAAAAGGACAUCGCCUUCCCUCUAAUGGGAAAGAGAGAAGACAGAAUGAAGUUCAGCCAACUACUUCCUCAUCUGUUCUUGCAGUAGGGUCCCAUCAUUAGGCAAAUUGCGUGAAAAAUGCAUCUACUGUUCUGGAACUGGAAACUGUGAUGAAAGCAUUGUGGGAGGCAAUGAGAAGACUAACUAACUGCUGUGUCUGCCUUCUUUCUACAUGGUUUAUUGCUUCCUAAGCAGAUUGUUAUACCUCUUAUCUUCUGCAGUGCACCGGCAUUAAAGCAAAAGACAGUCCUGCUCUAAGAAGCUGAAUAGAGAAGGGUAGCUUUGUUCUGCAGAAGACUGUGAUAUUUCAGAAUGUGGUUUCUUUCUGUCUGGAAAAAAACUUCUCUUUAGAAAAAGGGCAUGACUACAGCUCCUAAGAUCUGCAUGAGGUGGACUGCCCUAGAAUCAUGAGCCAAGAGAGUCCCCACCCAGCGGGCUACCCCAUAGAUGAGGACGCAGCCAUCAGGGAAGAAUGUGCUUGGACACCCUUGAGAGCCACGGCUUGCAGCACUUCCCAGAUCUCUGCCAAGGAACCAGGUCAGCAAAUAGUCAGGAAGCUGGGUAGAGUUCUCGUUAAAACACUAAGUUUUGAUGACUCAGCAAACGCUCAAUUAAAAACAUAUCAGAAUUUUUCCAACCAGCCCUACUUGUAAUCUAAACAAAUAAAGGAUAUGGGGAGGAGAUCACGUCCUCACUUUACAGCAGAGGGACUGAGGCACAAAGAUAUGCCAGGUGCUAUAGAAAGUCCACACCUGGGAGGCAAACUUCGAUCCCAUGCUGUCCCUUAACCACAAGGGUAUCCUUCCUCUAAACUUAAUUAAUUAGUCAUUACAGUGACCAUGUGAUACAAGUAUUACUUUCAUUUUAUAAAUGGAAACCAAAAUAACAUGUACAACAGCAAAUAGAAAGCCUGUAUCUGAGCCAGGACCAUGCUUCUAAAGAUGCUAAGCUUUUGUAGCAAGCCUACCUCUUUCUUUCAUGGACAACAUACACAGACAAGAUAUGGUCAGAUUUGCUGGAUGACCUUACUUACAUAAUCAUGCUAAUUGUAGCAGUGGUAUAUAUUCGUACAACAAAACUAUUCUGUGCUGUGGUUAUAGUAAAGCUAUAUUGUCCAUAC
ensembl:lncRNA